rnacentral:rRNA from 1 species
GACGAACGCUGGCGGCGUGCUUAACACAUGCAAGUCGAGCGGUAAGGCCCUUUCGGGGGUACACGAGCGGCGAACGGGUGAGUAACACGUGGGUGACCUGCCCUCAGCUCUGGGAUAAGCCUGGGAAACCGGGUCUAAUACUGGAUAUGACUCCAUGACGCAUGUUGUGGGGUGGAAAGCCUUGUGCGGCUGAGGAUGGGCCCGCGGCCUAUCAGCUUGUUGGUGGGGUGAUGGCCCACCAAGGCGACGACGGGUAGCCGGCCUGAGAGGGCGACCGGCCACACUGGGACUGAGACACGGCCCAGACUCCUAGGGAGGCGAGCGAGUGGGGAGUACUUGCGCAAUAGGGCGGAAAGACCUGACGCAGCGACGCCGCGUGAGGGAGU